rnacentral:ncRNA from 2 species
AUAUUGGCGUUGAAGAGGAGCAGUAAGCCGCAUCGCGUGGACUUAGAGAGCCGGCAUCAGUUGGUGCAAGCCGGACCCGCAGCGUGCCGAAUCUCGCCUCGGAGCCGCAAGGUCAAUUCCGGAUUCGGAGCAGCCUUGCCGCAUGGUCCGCGUUAAGGACUUCAUGAGUGGGUGUCCGCGGCAAAGCAUGCCGGGCGCCAACUAGGGUGGUACCACGGGAAUUCAAACCUCUCGUCCCUAGC